GGGAGCGUGGCGGAAUUGGCAUACGCAGUGGACUUAAAAUCCACCGGUCUUCGAUCUUGUGGGUUCGAGUCCCACCGCUCCUACCA
rnacentral:tRNA from 1 species